GAUGAACGCUGGCGGCGUGCCUAAUACAUGCAAGUCGAGCGAACAGAUAAGGAGCUUGCUCCUUUGACGUUAGCGGCGGACGGGUGAGUAACACGUGGGUAACCUACCUAUAGGACUGGGAUAACUUCGGGAAACCGGAGCUAAUACCGGAUAACAUUUGGAACCGCAUGGUUCUAAAGUGAAAGAUGGUUUUGCUAUCACUUAUAGAUGGACCCGCGCCGUAUUAGCUAGUUGGUAAGGUAACGGCUUACCAAGGCGACGAUACGUAGCCGACCUGAGAGGGUGAUCGGCCACACUGGAACUGAGACACGGUCCAGACUCCUACGGGAGGCAGCAGUAGGGAAUCUUCCGCAAUGGGCGAAAGCCUGACGGAGCAACGCCGCGUGAGUGAUGAAGGGUUUCGGCUCGUAAAACUCUGUUAUUAGGGAAGAACAAAUGUGUAAGUAACUGUGCACGUCUUGACGGUACCUAAUCAGAAAGCCACGGCUAACUACGUG
rnacentral:rRNA from 1 species